UACGGGGGGAGGUAAGCGUUGUUCGGAAUUACUGGGCGUAAAGCGUGCGCAGGCGGUUUUGUAAGUCUGACGUGAAAUCCCCGGGCUCAACCUGGGAAUUGCGUUGGAGACUGCAAGGCUGGAGUCUGGCAGAGGGGGGUAGAAUUCCACGUGUAGCAGUGAAAUGCGUAGAGAUGUGGAGGAACACCGAUGGCGAAGGCAGCCCCCUGGGUCAAGACUGACGCUCAUGCACGAAAGCGUGGGGAGCAAA
rnacentral:rRNA from 1 species